ensembl:lncRNA
UUUUGUUGCAGACACCAAGUGCUGAGGUCCUGUCUCAGCCUCAUACAGACCAAUCGACACCAAGUGCUGAGGUCCUGUCUCAGCCUCAUACAGACCAAUCGACACCAAGUGCUGAGGUCCUGUCUCAGCCUCAUACAGACCAAUUGCUGGGAAGGUGAGAAGCAAGUGGACAAAUGAUGAAGUAAAGGUUGCUGCAAAGUACCAGGUAAAAGGAAUGUGACUGCUGCUUCCAAGCAGAGCCGGCAGCUCGUAAAGGCAGAGACUGGGUUGCCAUAAAGUACUACAUCCACAACAGGAUCAUUGCAUUAAAAGAAAGAUGCAAGGAAAAAAAGAAACAACCAAGAGAGAUACUUUGUUGCUUCCACAGUUAUGUCAAUAUUGUAGUUUUCUGUAUUGCAUUGUUCUUACUCAUAAAUCUGUGGUUUAUGCUGGGUGCUUUUUCCAAUUAAAUGAUAAGAAAGGCA